rnacentral:lncRNA from 1 species
GUGAAAAAUCUAAAAACAAUGAGGAAAGAAACACUGUCAACAAGGACACUUCUGUUAUCCAUUUAGUGACCUGAAGGUUGAAAAAGCAAUGAUUAUAGGAGGAUAAUUUUUUUCUUGCAUAAGCAUAAAGUGCCAAAAAAUUACUAAAAUAGUGAGAUUACUUCCCCUUUCAUCCAUAAGUUUGUAAAUAUACCAUGUUCUUAUAAAUUGGUGUGCCUUCAAAUCUAGAGGAAAAAGAGUUCAAACAAUUGCAGGAAAAAUAAUGAGGAGAUUACUUCACAUUUCGUCCAUUAUCAUACAGAUAACAUAUUCUUGUAAGUGGGUCCUCCUUUAAAUCUAGAUAAAAACGCUGUGUCAAAUUUUACCUUUUCAGGAGCAAAACAGAAAGACACUUGAAUCAAAAGGCAAAAUUGUGGUUUCGUGGAGGAGAGGAGUCCACAAAAUUAUUUCUAUGAUUUUGGUUUGAAGUCUCUAUUGAUCAUCUCGAAGCCACCAAUCCUGCAAAUCAUGAAUUUUUAACCAGAAUAUAAAGGUAUGAUUAGUAAUAAAAAAAAAUAUUGCUUCUCUCAGAAAAACAAGCAAACAACAAAAUAUACAUUGCAACUUAGGCAUUUUACUCCUGCAAGCACUAUCAAGGAUUUUCAAGCAUGCAUAUCUACUGAGGCCCAUCUCUCAAACCUAAUUCGUGAUAGAGGGUACAAGACCCUAAUACGCUGUGAACUGGCUCAUAUGGGGAUGAUAAUAAUUUGGAUGAACGACUUCUAAAGAGUUUAUUGAAUAAAUAUUUUAGCCAUCUAGCACUCUUUCUGAAUAAAGCUUGCCAAGAGUUGACACUAAAAAAUAUGCAUUUAAAACCUUGGUUUUGCUAAUCAAAACUUCCAGAGCUUUCAGUUACCAGCUCAUAUGCAUAACAAUUAAUUUGGAAAUUGAAAGCAGGACUAGUGAAAGCUCUUCUUUUUUUAAGCCUUUACUUGAUCACUCAAGAACCAAGCCUUGUAGAAAUCUCAUAGUAGACUGAGUAGCAGUGCUCCUGUGAAGAUGUAAGGCAUAGUAGGACGAAGCCACUUUAAUUAUCUUAUUCUGUUUUCAAGCAUGUUGGAGUCUCAUUCUUCUAUUUAUCAUUACUUCUCCCAACUAGCCAUUUGCAGUGCUUCCACUUUUAAUCAUAAAUCAUUUUGUUAUAGAUCCAACCAAGUUUUAUGAUCAAAACUAUCCCCUCAUUUUCCUUGAGAUAGAUUACCCUUCCAGACGAACUAAUAUGUUCGAAAACUAGCUUGUUUUUUAUGUGAAGCCCCUUAUAAAGAAACCUUGGUAAUCUUGGUACUACAUAAUUUAGGGGAAGAAGGUUCUUUGAUUAGAGGACAUAUGUAUAUGUGUGAGUGUGUGUUUCUGUGUAGGGUUGAAGACAAGAAUAGGAUACAAAACGAAGUUUAGAAGAAGUACAAGAUAAGUUUGCUUUAUCAUCUUAAAUUUUGGAGUGAUGCAAGACUAAUAGUAGUUAAACUAAUAAUGUGGAUAGUUUAAAAAUAGAGAAAAUUCAGGUAAUAAACAGAAUAAUCAAAAUACAUUACAUAGGAAAUUAGAG